GGUUAAGUUAGAAAGGGCGCACGGUGGAUGCCUUGACACUAGGAGUCGAUGAAGGACGGGACUAACGCCGAUAUGCUUCGGGGAGCUGUAAGUAAGCUUUGAUCCGAAGAUUUCCGAAUGGGGAAACCCACCAUACGUAAUGGUAUGGUAUCCUUAUCUGAAUACAUAGGGUAAGGAAGACAGACCCAGGGAACUGAAACAUCUAAGUACCUGGAGGAAGAGAAAGCAAAUGCGAUUUCCUGAGUAGCGGCGAGCGAAACGGAACAUAGCCCAAACCAAGAGGCUUGCCUCUUGGGGUUGUAGGACAUUCUAUACGGAGUUACAAAGGAACGAGGUAGACGAAGCGACCUGGAAAGGUCCGUCGUAGAGGGUAACAACCCCGUAGUCGAAACUUCGUUCUCUCUUGAAUGUAUCCUGAGUACGGCGGAACACGUGAAAUUCCGUCGGAAUCUGGGAGGACCAUCUCCCAAGGCUAAAUACUCCCUAGUGAUCGAUAGUGAACCAGUACCGUGAGGGAAAGGUGAAAAGCACCCCGGAAGGGGAGUGAAAGAGAUCCUGAAACCGUGUGCCUACAAAUAGUCAGAGCCCGUUAACGGGUGAUGGCGUGCCUUUUGUAGAAUGAACCGGCGAGUUACGAUCCCGUGCGAGGUUAAGCUGAAGAGGCGGAGCCGCAGCGAAAGCGAGUCUGAAUAGGGCGUUUAGUACGUGGUCGUAGACCCGAAACCAGGUGAUCUACCCAUGUCCAGGGUGAA
rnacentral:rRNA from 1 species